rnacentral:antisense_RNA from 1 species
CUUAAUGGUGGUUGUGCGCAGGGCGCCCUCGGGCGCGCCGGUUUUGCUAACUUCCCCGGUCGACUAACCUGCGCACAGCUGCCUCCAUU